GUUAGGAUCAUGGAUGUAGGUUAGGAGUGUCUCCAUCUCCGUUAUAAGAGACGUUGUGAUGUUAAAGUGAUGUUUGAUCUUUAGGAGACAUCGACAGAGAUGGAGCUUCUUCCUCUUCUGUGUCUCUGCCUCCUGACUCGCUCUGGAAUCACGUCUGCUCAACUAAACGGGCCACCGUUGAUUAAAGUGGAACAAGACAGAGAUGUGGUGUUACCCUGCUCUCUCAGCACCAAGGAGAACAUUGCAUCAGGUGUCUUUGACUGGAAGAAAGUUGCUCAGAAAGAUGCUGGUGAGAAGGAGGUGUUCCUGUAUGACAAAGGCAAACAUUACAACAACGGCCGAGAUGGUCAGAGUGAGCAGUUCAAAGGUCGAGUCUCUCAUUUUCAAGAUGAACUGAAGUACGGCAACGCCUCCAUAAUCAUCAGAAAUACAAAGAUAUCUGACAGCGGAAACUACACCUGUUAUUUUCCCCAUCUUCGGCCACCUCAAACAUUCUACAUUGAGCUAGUUGUUGGUGAGUAUUUUUAUUAAACAGUUAAAGUUUAAUGAAAACUAUUUCUGUGUAACUGUUUGUCAAGUUGAUCAUUCUUUACAAGCUCUAACUGUUUGUUUUUUUGCCUUUUAGAUCCUACCUUAAUCUCUUAGGGCUCAUUUUGAUUAUGUGCAUUUCUGCCUCUUGAUAAAGACACAUUUUAAUCUGUAUAAUACCAGAACACAAGGAACUGAUGUAUGUAAAUGACAUCACU
rnacentral:lncRNA from 1 species